rnacentral:lncRNA from 1 species
ACCCCAGGUCAAUUGCUGAAGAUGAUGACAUGGACAUGGAAAAACUAGUGGAGGUCCAUUGCAGUCUGUCUCACUUUCUUCCCUCUUUGCUCAAGCUACACUGGACAUUUGGAUGUUAGAGGAUGCUGCCUGUUGUAUCUACUGUUAGAAUUUUAUGUCUCGAGAUUUAAUCCAUAUUGAGCCCAUAAUGAAGUCCGCGACGAUGAACGGAGUCCAACGAGCCCAAGAUUAGUCCA